UAACUUUCGAUGGUAGGAUAGAGGCCUACCAUGGUGGUAACGGGUAACGGGGUGUUAGGGCACGACACCGGAGAGGGAGCCUGAGAAACGGCUACCACAUCCAAGGAUGGCAGCAGGCGCGCAAAUUACCCAAUCCCGACACGGGGAGGUAGUGACAAUAAAUAACAAUACGGGGUUCUUUCGGAUCUCGUAAUUGGAAUGAGUACAAUUUAAAUCUCUUAACGAGGAACAAUUGGAGGGCAAGUCUGGUGCCAGCAGCCGCGGUAAUUCCAGCUCCAAUAGCGUAUAUUAAAGUUGUUGCAGUUAAAAAGCUCGUAGUUGAAUUUCGGGGUUAGUAGGUUGGUCAUGCCUCUGGUAUGUACUGGUCUCACUGAUUCCUCCUUCCUGAUGAACCGUAAUGCCAUUAAUUUGGUGUUGCGGGGAAUUUGGACUGUUACUUUGAAAAAAUUAGAGUGUUUAAAGCAGGCUAACGCUUGAAUACAUUAGCAUGGAAUAAUGAAAUAGGACGUUCGAUCCUAUUUUGUUGGUUUCUAGGAUUGACGUAAUGAUUAAUAGGGAUAGUUGGGGGCAUUAGUAUUCAAUUGUCAGAGGUGAAAUUCUUGGAUUUAUUGAAGACUAACUACUGCGAAAGCAUUUGCCAAGGAUGUUUUCAUUAAUCAAGAACGAAAGUUAGGGGAUCGAAGACGAUCAGAUACCGUCGUAGUCUUAACCAUAAACUAUGCCGACUAGGGAUCGGAUGAUGUUAAUUUUUUAAUGACUCAUUCGGCGCCUUACGGGAAACCAAAGUGUUUGGA
rnacentral:rRNA from 1 species